UACAGAGGUCUCAAGCGUUGUUCGGAUUCAUUGGGCGUAAAGGGCGCGUAGGCGGCCUGCCAAGUCGGAUGUGAAAUCCCUCGGCUCAACCGAGGAACUGCACUCGAUACUGGCAGGCUAGAGUCCGGGAGGGGAUGGUGGAAUUCCCAGUGUAGCGGUGAAAUGCGUAGAUAUUGGGAAGAACACCGGUGGCGAAGGCGGCCAUCUGGACCGGCACUGACGCUGAGGCGCGGAAAGCCAGGGGAGCGGAAUGGGA
rnacentral:rRNA from 1 species